UAGAGCCUCCCUCAGUUUCUGGAUCGUCAAUCGACAGCUGAGAGACUAUUUUUUGCAAUGGUUGACUAAAUAUGGUCAGGGAAGAGAGAGACACAAGACAGCCUGUUUGCCUGGGAGUGCAUGUUUCAAAUGCUUAGCUGCCUAUAAAGCUGUAACAGUUUUGCUUCUGCCCUGAGUGGGAAAUACAGUUAGUCUCUUCUAUAUUGUGCAUGUGAGAGCCCUGACCUCGCGCUAAGAGACUUGACCUCUGAAGAUGGAAAGUAGCUUCAACACAGAUCUGCCUACAGUUAAGCCUGGAAAUUUAACUUCAAGCAAGAAAAGAUGCAGUGCAAUGUCUAAGGAACUAGAAGAAAUCAAAUAUUUGCUGGGGGAGGGGGGCUGCUGCUUGUUUUGAUACUAGAUACAAACCAUAUACCAGCAUGGAAGCCUGAGAGAAGAUCUCACAGAAAGUUGAAGUUCUUAUGGUGGAAUACAACUAUCCACUCCAGGAAAAUACUUUGCAAAGCUACCCAUCAAUGAUCCAACUCUUCAUUCAAACCUGGCCAGCCAGAAUGAACAGCAAGAGGCAACCAAAAAUUGGGAUAAGUGCUUCAAGUGUUCAUGUCAUCACAGAACAAUGAACUGUAAUAGACUUUAAGCCACUCUGCAGGUAAAUUGUAUUGUAAAUCUUAGUAAUAAUAUUAGCUUAUAAACAAGUUUAUUGUAAGGUUAUUUUUCUAAAGAAGGAACAACCUGCAUUUUGAUUAAUAGAAGGACAAGGAAGCAAAAUACUUUGCAGAUUCCUCUGAUAGAUAGCUGUAUACCUGCCCAGAGUACAUACUUCUUUAUGUACCCAUAUGAACAUACAAUGCUAUGGAAUGUAAAGAAGUAUGUAUUUUUGGCAGGCACUGAACAACCAGUAAGAGGAAACUAAAACAGCUGCUGGAAGAAACAGGUCUCCUUCCUGAGUUACUUUCACAAAGUAAAUUAAUUUGGUGAGGGUCAGAUGAUACAUGCUACUGUUGCUGUAACACAUUUUUUGCUUACAAAUUGAAAAGAAUUAAAUGUUAUCCCAAGUCACUUAACAGAGCAAGCUGCUACGAAAGCUCUAUUUUGGUUGCAUAUAAGUUUUGUAUAUAAUCUUGGUGUUUUCAUUUUUUAAAGGCAACACAAACUAAAAAUGCAAAUAUUCAUUAGAACAUACUAGAUACAAAAGCAUAGCUUAUCUGGAAAAAAAUCAAUGGAGACCAAUUCUUCUUAAAAUCUAUUACAUCCACAUUUAGUUUCUUAUUAAUCAGGCUUCCCUUAAUGAUCUAAUUAGAUGCAAGACAUUAUUUUAGCAUCUUAAGCAUGCAGAACUUGCUCUGAUUUCAGUAGUUCUCAAACGUAUGUCUUAAUUGUUAAAUAGUAAUUAACGAAGUGUUAAGAAGCUGCUUGAGGUUAAGAGCUUUUGCUUCAUAACCCAAAACUGAAAAGUUACCAGAAUGUUAAAUAAUGAUAUCACAUAAGUCUGAUAUUUGAAAUUUAAAAUUUGGUCUUCUUCCAAAUCAACAUUGAAGGCUGGCUGAGCUCUUCAAUGAAACAAAAUGCAGUGUCAGGUUUAUGCAUGGAAAGUGACAAUGCAGAGAUUUCUAGGCCACUGCUGCCAGUCAGUGGAUUAAAGCUAUUGAGAGAUUCCUAAACAAAAAACAAAGAACUACAGGUUACUAUUUAGAGACAGUAAUUUGCCAGGUCAGGCUUUAGGCUUUUCUGAAAAAUGUACUUUAAAAACUUUAAAAAGGGAUAAAUAAUUCUGAAUUACAUAAGAACAUUAACCUUAGUAAUGCUCCUUUGACUUGGUUUUAAACUAUGAAAUGACCAAUAAGCUCUAACUGCCAGAACCAUAUGAAAAGUAACAAAAUGGUAACGCUUGAAAUCAACUUGAAAUUAACUUCUAAAAUUAAUCAAAAUACCCCAAGAUAUCCUCCAACUAAAACUGUUCAACACCAAAAUAUCUAGAAGGAUUGACUUGUUUCACCAGCUUAACUGUGUACAGAUAUUACAGCAGUCUCUAAACAUCAGUCCCUUGCAUAUUAUAUCUGCUUGAGACAAACAGGCAAAUUUAACAGAGAUUGAUUUGUUGCUAUAUACUUUAAGUUCUGGGGUCAUUUUGAAUCAGGUGAUGGGGGAGAAGCUCUCAAAUACAAGGGACCUAACAAUGGAUAAAAGUGCUUUAAAAAAUAUGAGUGUGAAUUCUUCAACUGAAAUAUUUUAAUUCCUAUAACGUACCAAAAGUUAAUAGACAAUAUUAUGAAUAAAACUGCCAGCUUUUUAAGAGUUUAACUAAAACUGAAUAAUUAUAUACAUUACAAAGAAGUAUUCUUACAAAUAGUUUUACGUUAAUAUAGUUGUUUUCAUAAAAUACUUUUAAUAAAUUUGUCUGCAAGUUAUUUCUCUUAUAAACAGAUUCUUUGGCAUGCAGUCUCUAUGGAACUAUAACAUGCAUAUUACAAGCUGGUUUAUAAUGGAAACAAACUAAACUAUAGUAGCUCUACUGGGUGUCGUAAUGUUACUUACGUUGGUAGCACCAAAUUGCUUUUAGACUCAUAGCUAAUAGCUUUACUAUUGGAGUAAGAGAGGGUAACAUCAUUUAUUUCUAUGAAGCUGUCCUUCUUUAUGCCUGCAAUAAUCUGGUUUUAAGACUAACUUUCCAAAAGCACACAUUUAGUUUGAAAGGUUUUUUUUAUAAUGAGCCACUGGAUGCAGUAUACUUUCCUGCCUUGUCAGUAUAGCAUUGCAAGGCUAUUCUGAAACAAAAUGACAAUUCUGAAAGUCAUACAAAAGUUAAAAUUAUGUUGAUAUUGCUUCUUGCUAGUUCUCGUUAAUAUCUGUCUAAGAAUAUAUACCCAGUCAUUCUAAAAUGUCACAUCCAUCACUUAGAUCAGCUGUUCAAUUUUAACUGAGCACACAUUGAACUCUGGGCAUCUGCUGACACAGUUGUAACUCAAACAUUUUGACUGUGUGACUGACAGGGAUAACAGAUGCUGACAUUAUCAAAUGCUACACUACUUUUUUCCAUGGCCAUUUUUUGCCCCGAUAUGGCCAGUACACUAAACUGUAUUGCCAUCCAAAAGCACACUUGAGCAGCUGGAUCUGUAAAACAGUUCCUGUAUAACCGGUAAAAAUAGCAACCAGUUUUAUGGCAGUCUUUACUGCUUAAGUCCAAGUGGCACACCUGCUAUGUUUCUAUUAGGAUACAUGGUGUAAAGAAUAUAUUUACAUAAAUCUCAUCACCAACAUCAGACAUCACAAACAGAUGCACACUAUACUUGACACAGUGCAUUAUUAGGGCAUAGUUUGAAUUGAUGCAGCUCUCCCACCCCCUUGCAAAAGUACAACAGGUCUUUCAAAUACAAGCAUCACCUGUUCAUCUACCACCACUAAUCAGCACCUUGCAAGACAAUGCCUACAUCAUAAGCACAUUUACAGAGCCUUUUAUAAGUUGUGCUAAGGACCUUCAUCUAGCAGAAGCCAGAGGCAUUGCUUUAGCUGUUUUUUGUUUGCUUGCAUUAGGAGUUUGUACACAAAGAGAAACAUGUAAAAAAAAUCUCCUUGUGUUACACUAAAACGUCGGAAUUUCUAAAGGAUAUCCUGACCAGGGAUAUGCU